CCUGGGUGGGAUGCCCAGGGUACCCGGGUGGGAUGCCCGGGAGGGAUAUGUGUUUAUUCGGGGUCAGGAAGCAAACUGGCUGGAUUGCUCUAGGUGGAAGUCGCUUCCCUGCCGGCUGCUUCCAGGACUGCUCAUUUCUGUGGAAGGCAUGGAUGUACCUGCAGCAUCCCAAAAACCCUGCAGGUGUUGCACAAGGAGUGGUGCUAUGAGGUGAAUUUUGGGGUGGCCUGCGGAAUGUGCUUGGCACACAAAUGGCUUUCUCGACGAGACAGGAGUGAACUGCCGAGACAUCUUGUUGCCCUAGAGGAUAUUCAGAUGUCACAGGAGGAACCCCCGGCCUGCCCCAUGGCUGUGGUUAAACCCGUGGUGAAAGUGACUCCAUGGGUAAUAAAAACAAUAUACAGAGAAACAGUUUCUUUUUACCACAGAAACAAUAUUUCAGUGCUGGCUGAGCUGCAGCUUCCAGCUGCAGAAAAGCCUUGAGUGCUGGGGAUGUGCGGUGCUCUCUGUGGAUGCUGUGUUUGGUUUUCAGCCUACCUGAGCUGUCCUAGGUUUUUCCUGGCAUGGAAACUGCAUGUCCAGGUUGGCAUUGUCAUGGCAAGCUGCAGGCUGCUGCUUUGGCAACUCCUCUCUCUUGAUUUGCUCUUUUUAAUCACAAGUCAAACAAAUUUAAACAACCAAACUGAGGUCUAUCCAUGCAGCCUGUUGCUAUCACCACCAAGUAUCCUUGUGGAUGAGCUGGGAAAUGCACAAGGAGUUGCAUUUGUGCCCUGGAGGUGUGUGGCUGGUCUCUCUCUGACUGGGCUGCAGUGAAAAUUUGCUGGUGCUGAGGAUGCUGGCCAGCAGCACAGGUUAUUUUUCCUCCCCAGCACGGGCCAGUGGUAUUGUUUUGGGAGUGGAUGUGCUCCAAGUGGAUACCAGCAAUCCCAGGAACAACCUGACAGUGUUGGUUUCUUUGGUGAGAUGAUGAUUUGUGGGAUUCUGCUUGCCCAACACCAUUCAGUGUUGGAAGUCACAACCACUACCUAAUGCUCUGAUUUUGUGCCUGAAUUUGGCUUGAAUAAGACAUUUGCUUAUUGACGUAAACAGAAAAAAGAAAAAAAAAAAAACAAACAAACAGUGGUUUUCAUCCCAAAAGAUAAUAUUUUCAAUUUUUCUUUUCAACAGCUGCCCAUCCUGGGGACCCACAGGACUCUAAACUGGUCUGCCCAGUGCUAAAACAAGAUCAUGUAGCCAAGGCAAGCUUGGGAUGGCUGCUAAAUGAGGCAAGGUGCAAAAGUGCAAGGUGCAUAAUGGGAUGGACUAGGGUGAUGGAUAAGUGCAGGAGCCAGGGGAGUCUCUUCAUACAUUGUCCAGGUUUGGCCUUGUACAGGCCAAAGACUGGAUCAGGAUCCUGCAGGGAGCUCCUGAGCACAUGCUGCCCAUCCUGGCUGUGGCAAUCCUAUCAGUGUCUCCCAUGUGGUUAUCAAGCUGCACACUGUAUUGCCUCUGUGGCUUCUGCUGAAACCCAUCCCACACCUCUUUUCUCUGAAAAUCAGAAAUCUUUUCAUCUCCAGCCCCACAACUCUCAGUUUGGGAUUUCACAAGAUUUUCUAACAGUUUCUUCCCUUCCACGUGUCUCUCAGUAGCAAUUAUACCCUCUUCAGCCCUGUUCUGAUAGCCUAAAUGAGGGCAAAUUUAGGUAGCUUCCUCUCAUAAGAUAAUCCUCCUUUUCUUUGCUUGUUGUAGUCAUUUUUCACACCAGUUUCAGUUCCUCGGAAAGGCAAGGGAAAAGGUUUUCAGAGCUGUGGCUGGGAUUUCAGGCUUAAGAUCAAUGGGCCUUUUGUUUUGAAAUCCAAUUCAGUGGGCUUUUAAGAACAUAUCUGAUCAUUACUGCGAGCAUCUUGAAGUUUGGAGCCCCAGCCUGUUAUUCAGCUUGAAACAACAACUCCGCUGACUCCAAGAACUUGUACAAACAUUUCUAAUCAACAGGAGGGAAGCUAAGAACCAUUCAAACAACAGAUAAGAUUAGUAACUGGAGUGGCUGGACUGCAAUUGUUAUUGUGCAAGUCAAAGAAAAGGCUGUCACACACAGAGGAUGUUGCCAAGCAAGAUUCAUUUGAGUCGCCGAGUCAUUCUUCUCUCAUCCGCUGUCCGAAUUCUCCUGAAGUCAGAUUUAUUCAGGCUGUGUUGGGUGAUCUACUGGGUUAGGAGGUGACUGAGUUUAGGCUUUUUUCCCAGGUUGUGUCAGAUAUUUCCCUUGAUCCUGUUCUUCCCCACCAUGGAAAAGGAACCAUAAUUCUGGUUCAGAGAACUCCCUGUGCCAUGGUGGGAGUUGGAGCCGAGUUGCUGUUGCCAUCUCUCAGAUGCAGAGCACUCAGAAGGCUUUUACAGCCACAAGGGGAUGUCUGGGGCUCAGACCAGGAAAGUGUAACAGGAUGGUGAAAGCUCCCUUCACUUUCCAUCUGGGUCCUCCUUGGAGCGUGCCUUUGGAGAGAGGAGUUCAGCAGGGCUCAUCCACUGUUGUGAUGCGUUGGUUACCCCGUGAACAAGCCCCAUCGUGUGCAGCAAACAAGAAACCAGCACACAACAUAUGAAAGUCAUUUAGGAAGAUGGGAAUGAUGAGCAGUGCACACAAUAGCGUUGCUAUUAGGGUCUGUCGAUCCUAAUUAAAAAAAAUACUUCUCAAUGAAAAUUAUUUAUAAAAAGAAAUCACAGUGACCCUAAAUCAAAUUAUUUGUGAAUGGUUUUUAGUCUCCCAGAUCAGUUAAAACUCCUGUGUUAGUCACUGGACCUCAUCCAAGCUACAUGCUGAAUGAAUAACAUCCCUGCCAAAUUUCAUUUUUUUUCACCCUCACCCAUUUUGGCACAGGACAGUUAAAGUCAUUUUUCUAAAUAUCUUUCAGAACAUCAAGCAACUGUAAAAUAACAAUGGGAAAGCUUGGCCACGGACAACUGCAGCCCUCCAGUUGGAACCGCUUCUCUCCAAGAAAGCAACUCCCCUUCCUUUGAUGAAUCUCAUUUGGGGGAGCACUGAGGCAAGGAUUCCUCCACAGGGGUACUGGAGGAUUACUGCCUGAGGGGUACCCCUGCCAGGGAGCCUGGCUUCCAGGUGUUCCAGAGUGGGACACAGCUGGAUCCAGACUUGCCCUGGCUACAGGAUUUGUGCCUUUUUUGGCCACCUUCUAGAGGGUGGCAUCCCGAGGACAUAUUGACCAUUCCUUGUCCACAGUGGCAGUUUCCAUGGUGAGCUGUAAUGAUGCCUCUUUUGCUUGCUCUUCAAAAACAAAAAACAAAAAAGAAAGAAAGAUAUAAAGAAUCAGUGACUGCACAA